UCUUCAAUGUAGUCUGGCUGCCACUUUUGCUAGUCAUUUGGUUCACACUACUGUGCUAUCCAGGAUGCACCACAAGGAGGCGAACUAGCAUCACACCCCAGUGAAGGGCUGACAACUCUCUAUAUAGUCCCUCUCUUUCAGCCCAACUCACCUCGCAGAAUUGCUGUUGUGGAAAAAUAAGUGGAGGAAGGAGUAACAGGUACGCUUGCCACCUUGAGUUACCUAUAAAGAUGAGAUAAAAAUCAAAUGAAUAAGAGAUUAAUAUUGCAGAGUAGAGGGCCCAGAAGUGAAGCAUGUGAUCUUGUGCGCAAGCUUGAUCCACAAUCAUUAGCAGAGCAUUUUUUGUAUACAUUUGGAACCAACUACCGUCACUGCAACUUCUUUCUGCUUUCUACAAGAUGUUGGUGGAAUACCUGUGUUCCUGUUGGUAAAGACUAAAUGAAAAUAGGAGCUGAGUAGGUCUAUCUUUUUCUUCAUCUAGAAGAACAAUGUUGCAUUGAAAUAAUUUCCUUCCUUUGGUCAGAAUCAUCUGACAAAUCGUUCCAUACUAUUUCAACAAGAGUCUGCUAGAUCUUGUGCCAGCCUGGCUCAAUGCAGAGAUAUGCCACCAGGAGGAGCUGCCACGUUAAAUGUGUAUGAAAGGCAAAUAUUUCACUGCCAACUCAUCCUCUGCCUAAGCUGUAGGAGUGAACUGGGUUUGCUACCUGACACGCUGCAAAGUGAGGACUAUUUUAAGACUGUAACCUAUGUGUCAGCACAUAAAACUAUUUAUUUUAUUACAUUAUGCUGUAUUGCAUUGAAUUUAUGUCAUAUAAUUGUAGAUAGCUUUGUUUUUCUAAGCAUGCUGUUUCUUGAAUUCAUGCAACGCAUCCAGACCAAACUUGUUUGUUUGUUUUGUUUUAUUAAAUUGAAAUGAAAUGAAA